UACGGAGGAUCCGAGCGUUAUCCGGAUUUAUUGGGUUUAAAGGGUGCGCAGGCGGGAGAUUAAGUCGGCGGUGAAAUUUUGCAGCUCAACUGUAAAAGUGCCUUCGAAACUGGUUUCCUUGAGUGUGGAUGAAGUAGGCGGAAUUUGUGGUGUAGCGGUGAAAUGCAUAGAUAUCACGAGGAACUACGAUUGCGCAGGCAGCUUACUAAACCAUAACUGACGCUCAGGCACGAAGGCGUGGGGAUCAAACAGGAUUAGAUACCCGUGUAGU
rnacentral:rRNA from 1 species